CGGGCUCCGUGAUGUUCCUUCCCUCCCCGCGCCAUGGGCUCCACAACCACCACCUGCCCCGCCAAUCGCCGCGCACCACAGCAGGGAAAGGAGAGGCGGUCAGCAGGGUGGGAAGAAUCUAAGAGCAUUCGGGAUGCUCCUGGCUGGCGCCCCUCCUUCCUCUGCCUGCGAGCGAGCAGCCACGCUGAAUGACUGGGAGCCGUCACACCAUAGCUUGAAAUGCCGGAGUGGCUGUGAUGAUGACGACAUAGGACACAGACAUGGUCAUAGCACACAAAAUGGGGCUGCGUUGGAGACAGAGGCGAGCCCGUCCCCUGGGAAAUGCGUUCUUCCUUUCCUCUCUGCUCCCUGGAAGCGACGGGCUAGUCAGGAAGGACCGUCCUUCAAGUGUGGAACUUUCCGGAAUGUUUUCUCUGCAUUGAGGCAUGUAUUUAUUAUUAUUUCAAGACCACCCCCUGGUGUAUUUAUCCUUAAAUAAAGCCGGCGGCCGGAACCUGGCGCUCUUACAAGAGAGUCCUCGGAUAGGUGACCGACACAGGUCCUCAAGAAGCCCCUCGUCCCCGGGGAAGCGUCAGCGUGCUCGGACGGAGUCUGGUGUGGACCACGUACCCCGCCCCCAUUCAGAUAGCCGUGACCCCAGCACCUCAGGAUGUGGAGAGAGGGUCUUUGAGGAGGUGAUUAAGGUUACACGAGGUCACUAGGGUCGCCCUAAUCCCAGACGACUGCAGUCCUUACGGAAAGCAGAGAUGUGGACACACACACAGGGGGAAGACCCAGUGAGGACACGGGGAGAAGGUGGCCAUCGGUGAGGCCGGGACAGAGGCCUGGGAAGGAACCACCGCUGCCCACGCCUGCAGCUCAGGUUCUAGCCUCCGGAAUGGGGGGAAAAAGAACUCUCUGGCGGUAAAGGCGCCCAGCCCGCCUGAGCGGACAGCACCGAGUCUUUGGAAAAUGCGAAUGCAAGAUGGACCUCUGCAAGAUACCUCCCGGGUCCCUAAAAACACCUGCUCUGAUAGGAGGAGAAAGUUCCGGAAUGUGUGUGCUACCGCCCGCGCCGAGAUGUUUUCAUGCUCCAAGCCCCCUGCCCACCGCACUCCCCCUCAAAGAGGUGCUCUUUUAAAAAUGUAUUUACACAACAGAUCGACACUUAAAUACGUGUUUAAAGAGGAAUUAUGACUAUGUUCACCUGUCAGAACGGCAUGGUUUCGCUCAUGUGUUUUCCAGUUGGUUGGAUAAAUAAUCAGCUUGGG